rnacentral:rRNA from 1 species
AGUAGGGAAGAAGCCCUUCGGGGUGACGGUACCUGCAGAAGAAGCGCCGGCUAACUACGUGCCAGCAGCCGCGGUAAUACGUAGGGCGCAAGCGUUGUCCGGAAUUAUUGGGCGUAAAGAGCUCGUAGGCGGUUUGUCGCGUCUGCUGUGAAAACGCAAGGCUUAACCUUGCGCCUGCAGUGGGUACGGGCAGACUAGAGUGCGGUAGGGGAGACUGGAAUUCCUGGUGUAGCGGUGGAAUGCGCAGAUAUCAGGAGGAACACCGAUGGCGAAGGCAGGUCUCUGGGCCGUUACUGACGCUGAGGAGCGAAAGCAUGGGGAGCGAACAGGAUUAGAUACCCUGGUAGUCCAUGCCGUAAACGUUGGGCACUAGGUGUGGGAUCCAUUCCACGGGUUCCGUGCCGCAGCUAACGCAUUAAGUGCCCCGCCUGGGGAGUACGGCCGCAAGGCUAAAACUCAAAGGAAUUGACGGGGGCCCGCACAAGCGGCGGAGCAUGCGGAUUAAUUCGAUGCAACGCGAAGAACCUUACCAAGGCUUGACAUACACCGGAAAAGUGCAGAGAUGUGCUCCCCGUAAGGUCGGUGUACAGGUGGUGCAUGGUUGUCGUCAGCUCGUGUCG